AAGAAAUGAUCUUCAGAAAAGAUUACAAGAUAUUGCAUGAAUUUGCGCAAAACGUGAUUUUUCAACAUCACGCGUGUCUUUUUCGCAUACAUACUAGAUGCAAAUGGUAACAUUUAAAUUUCUUUAAGCUGACAGAGUGAUAAAUUUACGAGAAUUGAUUCGCUUAAUACAUUCCUCAAGAUUUUCCUGGUAAGGAAUCGCGUUUCAAGGUUAUAUGUUAUAUGCGUCUUGAUAGGUAUCUCAUGAGCGAAGUAUUGUAGUAUCUACUUAGUAUGGGAAAGAUUGAGGUUAUCGAGUGGAUUCACAUAACCGUGACGUCGUCCAGGUCCGUUGAAAUAGCACUUUAGGAAAACAUAAGUCAUGCAAAAGGUAGACUGAAAAGAGGUUGGUACAUAAAGCAAAUUCGUUGGGAGGUCUAAUUUAAGCGGGCUUCGUAUUAUGCGACGACGACCGUCUUCCACUCAAAUUGUUACUCCGCUUAGCCAUGAUGGGCACUGAUCACUUAUUUAUGAGUAAAAAACACGCGAGAAUGUCUUCAAACGGCGCAUCCCAGAAAUUGUCAGCGAACCACCACCUUCGUGACUAAAAUCCACGAGAGAAAAUAUGGCCGCCCCAAAGACCGCCACCAGGGCGCCAGGUUUCUCUGGAAUAUGCGCUUGUCGCGCCUGCCCACGUGACACAUCGUAUGCGUUCGCUGCCUUAAAGUUGGCGUGUGGUAUUGCUAUCUCUUUUUAAAAAAGCUUUCCUUAUUUCUUAUCCUUUAUUGAAUUAUGAGUGUUCGAAACGUACCUCAUUUCACUACAUGUAUCAGUAUUGCAAUUAGUAAAUGUCUAUUUUCUUAACAUAUAACAUUUUUUUCAUA